GUUCACUAGAUGGGAGAGGUGUGCCAAAAAUAUCCCCAGAGACACAUCCGCCACAUAAUAGUUACCGAAAACUGGAACAUGUUGCAGUUCACUAGUCAACCAAAGAGGUGUACCAAGAAGAUAUAGCCAGGUACAAUUUGAGCGUCUCAGUAGUCUCCGAUGACAUUAAACAUGGUAUCGCAUCUCUUUUCCCUCCUGUGUUUCUUGGCAUUGCCAAUGGUGGUGGCGGGGGAAAAAUUGUGCAUCGUCUACACUAUGGCUAGCCAUGGCAGCAACGAUGGCAUUCCGAGCCAAGGAUUUGACAGCGAGAAGUGGUACAAAGUACAUCGAUUAUUUGAUCGACACACGAACGCCAGCAUCGCAGCUGAAGGGAGGAAGUUCCUACAGUUUUUUAGCGAGUGGUACGGCAUCAGUUUGGACGUCGGUAACGAUACACUGUCAGGGGCUGAUCCAACCACUCUGUAUGUCGAGGCAUCGGGAGUUCACCUAAUUUUUAGACUCUCGGUCCUACCAAAAUACGCUAAUUAUAGACUUUAUUCGGAGUCGCGUGGCAAUGAAGUUCGUUUUUACCGUUCCAAGAUUUGCAGUGUUGGAUGGAUGAUUUUGUUCAGAGAUGAGUUUACUGUAACCACGGGCCGAAAUCAGGGAAUGGUCAUUCCAGCAAGAAGCGCCGUCAGGUCUCGAGUCUAUUACAUAAAACCCGGGGGAAAGGGCUUCGAUAACGUAAUUAAGCUGC
rnacentral:misc_RNA from 1 species